GUGUCUUGGGUGAAGGGAGCAAGAGGAGGGUCCUGGGUGGAGGAAACCCCACCUGCAAAGACCACGAUGCAGAGAACAAUUCAAAGGGCGUGCAUAUGCUGCUUCCUACUGUGUGUCAGGCCCCAUCUGAGGUAUUGGGGUGCAGAGCUGAAUAAGACACAGUCCGGCCCCCACGGAGCCUACAGUCUGAGUGGAGGAGCCCAGGACAUGAGUCCACCCCAGGAGAGGUUCUUGGCAACUCCUCCAAGAAGCUCCCACUGCUGAUCCCACCUUCCAGUCACUCCAUCUCCCAGAUCGCUCGGGGUCCCGUGUGCAGCCACGCAAGCAUCCUUCAUCGGGCACAUUUUCAAACACCUGUUGUUGACAGACUUCCAGAAUUAAUACUUACGGUCCUCUGCUCUUCACGGCUGCUGAAAAAGCCCCAGAUCCUCAGCGUGUUUCCACAGCCAUCAUGAUGUGCUCCCGUGAGCCCUCCCAGGCUGCGUUCCUCUGUGUCCUGCCCCACUCGCCACUGACACCCUGGCCUUUGCUCUGUCACGCCUGACGACCGCCUUCCCUUGUGUACCUCGGGCUCCUGCUGAGCCCACUGUCUGGAACACCUGGAAGGCCUCAUCUCCACCUCUAGAUGCUGGUCAAACACAGCUCAGGUGCCUCCUCUGCCCUCUGCCUGCCCCGGUGCUGCCAGUCUGAUGUGCUUCUGUGUCCCACAUUUUAUUCGGGUUUUUCUGAGUGUUGGCCCAGUUGUAUCUGUGUCUCCUUCCCCACUCUCUGUCCACUGUAUCCCUCACAAUGGUGACUCUCAAGCUCUAUGUGUAGGAAAAACCGGUGUUGUUUUUGGCUUAGUUUUUGUUUUUGCAUAUUUUCAAUCUGUUGCAGACUAAUGAUUUUGUAAAAUAAAAUGAAAUUUAAAAA